CACAGGGCUGCGCACACGGUACACAGGCUCCCUGGACAGCUUAGGUGGCGCUCAGGCGGGGGAGGGCUUGCUCUUGCUGGCACUGGGCUGGGCCCUCCCAGCCUCUCUGAGUCACCACUAUUUUUAGCACAGCCUCGUCCAGGUGGGCCAGGCUCCGCGCAGGCUUCUCUCAGUGUCCUGUGUCUCCGUUCCUGCCUUGGGUGGCUGGGCCAGAUGCAGGGGUUGGCAGUUCCAGCCUCUCCCUCUACACCCGUGACCCUCAGCAAGCUGGCGAGCAGGGGCGGAAUCCGCCAUUUCAGGAACUGAGCACAUUCUGACAGUGACAUUUGCUGGUGGCUUUAUGGGCUCGUGAGCCCACAGGCUGGGGACAGGGAGGGCGGACGGUGAUGUACUUGUAAUGUUGCAGUUUAUUCUGCCAGGGACAGAUGUGACUGACCGUCCAUGAGGCUGUGCCCCUGUGCGUGGACGCGGCUUCAGAGAGGGCCAUGGCCAGGUGGCCGCGUCUGUAUUUGAGAGGGUGGGGCGGGCAGUGCCGCCGGCUGUGCCUCACUCUCUGCUGUCCUGGGAUGAUGGCGCUGACGUCCGGCUGACCAGGAGGAUCUACCAGAUCUCCUUCCCUGGCUGCGGUUUAUUAGUGCGUCUGGAAUAAUCUGGUUUGGGUUCUUCAGGGGCAGACCUAAAACGAAAAUCUGAGUUUAAAUCAUUUAUUUUUGGGAUGAUUCCAGGAUGGACUGGUAGCAGGGUGGUGAGAAAGGGUGUGUGAAGAAGCAGGUGACCACUGUGGUCUCUGGGGACUGGGUGGGUGUGCUUCAGAGUUGUCCCUCCCAAGGGGUGAC
rnacentral:lncRNA from 1 species